UACGUAGGGUGCAAGCGUUGUCCGGAAUUAUUGGGCGUAAAGAGCUCGUAGGCGGUUUGUCGCGGCUGGUGUGAAAAUCCAGGGCUUAACCCUGGACCUGCAUCGGGUACGGGCAGACUAGAGUGCGGUAGGGGAGAUCGGAAUUCCUGGUGUAGCGGUGAAAUGCGCAGAUAUCAGGAGGAACACCGGUGGCGAAGGCGGAUCUCUGGGCCGUAACUGACGCUGAGGAGCGAAAGCAUGGGGAGCGAACAGG
rnacentral:rRNA from 1 species